UCCAGACAGUCCAAGAAGGUGCCCUCUGACCCUGCAAGGCACUUCUCCUACACCCCCUCCAGCCGAGAAGGGGCCAACCUCCCCGCCGUGCCCCGCCGUCCUCACAGCAUGUCCCCCUCCAUGACAGGGGGCGACAGAGACAAAGGCUUUAUGGUGAACGAUGAGCUCCUCCAGCGGCUGGCCAACGGCAGGGCGGGCUCCAUCCGUCCCCUAGUGAUCCCCCGCACCACAGACACCUCGGCCCCCCUUGACUACCACUCCCCUCCUGUGGAGGUAGAGGGCUGGCUGA